UUAGCUCAUAUUUGUAUGGAAUGGGAUCGUUUGCCUACGUUUGCCGCUAGGGGCGCUGUUCCAACUGCAUACAAAAUUGGGUUA
rfam:Bombyx mori DNA, contig: Bm_scaf2_contig2338, strain: p50T/Dazao, build 2, whole genome shotgun sequence.